UACGGAGGGUGCAAGCGUUGUCCGGAUUUACUGGGCGUAAAGGGCGCGUAGGCGGUAGCACAAGUCAGUUGUGAAAUCUCCGGGCUUAACUCGGAAAGGUCAACUGAUACUGUGCGACUAGAGUGCAGAAGGGGCAACUGGAAUUCUCGGUGUAGCGGUGAAAUGCGUAGAUAUCGAGAGGAACACCUGCGGCGAAGGCGGGUUGCUGGGCUGACACUGACGCUGAUGCGCGAAAGCCAGGGGAGCGAACGGG
rnacentral:rRNA from 1 species